rnacentral:rRNA from 1 species
GACUACACGAAGCCGGAAUCGCUAGUAAUCGCGAAUCAGAAUGUCGCGGUGAAUACGUUCCCGGGUCUUGUACACACCGCCCGUCACACCAUGGGAGUCGGAAAUGCCCGAAGUCAGUGACCCAACCGCAAGGAGGGAGCUGCCGAAGGCAGGUCCGGUAACUGGGGUGAAGUCGUAACAAGGUAGC